UGUGCGUGAGUGCACUAGUUUUACAAGGUACUGUACGCCGUAUAUAUGCAGCCCAAAGAGAAAAUAUUUGUCACUCAACAGCUUUCCCCUGGCAACGAGAGAUCAACAGCUAAAUCAGGACUAAGGACUAGCAAAACAAGUUCGACCACCACAUCAUGGAGAACAACACGUGGCCUGUCAAUGUCUUCCCCUACGGUCGGGAAUCAGCUCUCCUCAUGACAGCAGGUGUUGCAGGAGACCCUUACUUAGCUGCAGGACUGCUCCUAGGUUCUGUCUUGCUGGGGCUCGUCAGCUACAUCUCGGCCUUCUGAUCCCAACGCAGGAGGCUCAAAGAAGUCAUCAACUCACAACAGCAUAACCUACGCAGGGGUGUUAAAAACAUCCACCUUAGAGCUAUGUUUGGCAUGCUCGUAAAGGAUUUUGGGAAUGCAUUAUUUGCAAUCAUUUUGGCGAUUCUAUUCAUCGAGUUCCCCUCCAGCCCUAGAUUCGACGAUACUAUCUAUUCCCUUUGGUACCUGUUCAGAUGCUAUGGAUUGAUUUACCAUCUCCUUAUUGCCUUGUUUUGCCUCCUUUUUUCAUUCCAUCCACAAUCGGGAGAUAAUCAGCAAGCCGUUUACAUAUUGUUGGUUGUGUCAGUGUAUGCGUUUGUCCCUUUUUCUUUUCUUUUCAGCCAGGUGGCAAUAUUUGGGCUGGGAGCUAUUACCAUUGGAUUGGCUUUGGCCAUCAUUGCAAAGUGUACAGUGUCAAGCGCGUCCCCCUCUGCUGCUGCUCAGAAGAAACCGAUUGUGUUUGUCGCCAUGUUCACAUUCCUAAUUGUCUUCGCCCCCUCUUUUAUUCUUCAGUGCCUGGUGAUCAGUACAGCCAACCGUGGAGAGUAUCUCACCAUUUAUGUAAAUGUUCUGCUUUGCACAAACGUUCAACUCUUGAUGGAUGGACUCCUGUGUUAUUUUAACCUGAAGUUGCUUUCUGAAGAGGGAGAACAACAACAGCGAGAACCGGGGCAGCAGCAACACCAGAGUUUCGAAAACUCAAACUAUAACUCAUAAUUCUGCAAAUGUUCAUUUUGUCUCAGCACCAUGACCAAUUGUAAUAACUUUGCAUCAUAACAAUUGCAACGAUAGAUCACUUGGUAAAGGAUAGUAGCCUAGUUAACAAAAUUUAAACUUUCCCUUUGAGAAUUAAUAAACUAUGUCUACUUCUUAUUCAGGACUUUGGCUUGUCAAUAAAAAAUACUUGACUGCUUAAUAUUCAUGGAGAACAUUUGCAUAGACAAUAUAAUUAUGAAAAAAUCAAUUUCUGUUUCUCAAGUUUGUACAAUUUCCCUACACUGCUGGCUACUGCCAAACAUAAGUAAAUUGUGCAUUUAUUGGGGACCAUAUACAGCUAGAGAUUAAUAAACAUUUGAUUUACUUAUGAGUAUUUGCAGUAGCAGGACGUUGUAGGUCAGGCUGUUCUCCUUCACUGUUUGUACUUAUACCUGCAACAAGUUUUCAUUAGUAUAUAACCCACAUAAUCAUGAACCAGGACAUGCAGGCCUGCCUCAAGGAAGUCAGGCGAUGUAAUAUAAAGAGCGACAAAGUCUGUGUAGGGCGGGAUGGGUCAAACAAACACAGGACUUUCACCUUUUACUUUUGUUAAGUAAGUUACGUAACAAACAUAUUUAUUUGAACACAAAUAAAUAUGUUUGGCACUGCAGAGCUUUACACAGGCUCACUGAUCGCUCGUGUAAAUGAAAAAUUGUGCAUAACUUUUUGUAAGCUGUAUGAGCUAUUGUACAUGGAUAUGUUGUGGAGGUGGGACUCAAAAUAAACUACAGUGCCCAUUUUCACUAUAAUAAAGGAACUGUCACCCAGUG